GCAAUUCGACCGUGUGUGAGUUUGUGUGGCGGCUCUGUAGUGUAGGUUGAAGAGUAGUGCGAGUGGCGCCACCUUGUGGUUAUUCUGCGGAACAACAGCAGUUUACGUCCAGCGGCACAGCGACCUCCAGUGACACGUAGACUGGGAGCAAGGGGAAGUCCAGCCCCGAUGAUUUUUACGUAUUUAGUGGCAGUCUAAUUGAUAUAUUAUAACAGGCUGCUUUCAAUGUGCACCCGCCAUGUUCACGGUGAGGCUUUGCGCCUAACUUCAUUUACAAAAUGUGCCAGUUUAAUUUUGGCUAGUUCGCUGAUAAGCUUACCCACCGUCGCUAACACACGAAGUGCACUAUAUUUUCACCUGCUAUGUGUUCACCAUCUCCUCUGUUUUAAUCCACCUAAAUUCAUCCAGGAACGUUGAAUGAGAUGGAUGAAGAGUUGUGGACAUUUAGUGUUCCCCAGCAGUCCAUUUACUGGACGUGUCUGCCAGGAGUUCAGUUGGACGCGCUCACUGUACGUAAGAAAGGCUUUGUCGGCUUCCUACGUCACAACAUGACAGCGCCCACGGCACGCCACCUUGACAGCCACAGUCAGUAGCUGACUGUACACGCCGUGGACCCGACGUGGGGGUGUUUCAGCCACACGUAUCAACGGACGUUCGGGGACGGAUGCACAGGGUUGUGUGUUUGCUCAGGUAGCUGCGGAGGUCGCGGAGGAGCUGUAUCACUCACAACUGACAGGAGAUGGGACUCCAGGUUCUGCUCUACUGGCCGAAUGUUAUAGGGUACAUCAGGAUCGGCCUGGUGUUGGCUGCAUGGGCCGCCAGUGAGACUCCCGCGCUGUUUGUCCCCCUGUACUCAGCCUCCACAGCACUGGACGGAGUGGACGGCUGGCUGGCCAGGAGGCUGGGCCAGAGCUCCAGGUUUGGGGCGUGGCUGGACGUCGUGGUGGACAACAUGGGCAGAGGCAUGCUGUGGAGCCUGCUGUUUGAGUGGGGUUGGCUGGUGUCUGCGUUGGAGUGGUGUGUGUUUGUGUGUAACCACAACACCAGAGGUGACCACUGGAAGAACAGCUUCACCACCAGCCCUCGAUUCAUACGAGCUAUCAUGGCAAACGGGUUUCGGACUCCUCUCGGCACAUGGGUGGUGAGCGGGCUGCACUGCCUCCCACUGUGGCUGUACGGGUGUCAUUGGGGUUUAUUGACCCGUUGGUUGUACCUGCCCUCCUGGAUCCAGACUCUGGGGACCGUGCUGCUGGGUGCAGGGCGCCUGCUUGCUCUAUCAGCAGAGAUAUGGUGUGUAUGGACGCACAUUGAAUACCUCACCAGUGAUGUGGAGCUGGAAGGGAAAAAGAACUGAUAGCUGUUACUCUCCUGUCUACACUGGAAUAAUGCUGAUUAUUUACACCAUAUUUUAUAUGAACUCGGGUGACAUUUGGUUUCUCCAAAGCUGUAAAAACUUCAGGGAGAGUGUCUUUUUGUCAUAUUCUCCUUAAAAACAUUUUUUUUAAAAAGGGUAUUUAUUUCAGGUAUCACUUAACAUAUCAAAUGAAUGUGUCAGCUGAAAUAUGUGGCUGUAUUUUGACCUCUCAAAAGGAUUUUGUGAAUGGCUGCUGAGAUACAAGUUUCAAAUCAAGUCAAGUCAAUUUUAUUUAUAGACAGACAGACAGACAGGUCCCUUUGUCCUGUGAUGCUGUAAGGUGUGUCUGAUCUGACUCCAUCACUAAGAGCAGGGCCUUCAGAUAAACUUAAGAGAAUUUAAGUGUAUAUGGUUUGUCGUAAUGUUAGACAACAGGGAUAUUAUUGUUGUUAUUUAAAUGGAACACUGUAGCAGCAACAAUCACUGUUUAACCUGAGCAGAGACUGAAAUGAACUAUUCUGACACUGUUUUAGGAAUGUCAGCAGUCCAGUCAGAAGUGUUUCCAUGCCUGCACUGAACAAUAGUUUCUACCAGGGAUCAGAAUAUUUGUGAUUGCUGUCAUUAUCUAUAUGAAAGCAAGCAACCAAAGGGAGGGGCCUAUUUUACACAUAGGUCACGCUAAAGUAGAGUCAGUUUUGUGCGUUCAGUUUUAGCGUACUGCACAUCACAUCACAAAACUUGUUUUACACCUGCGCACUUGCUGUAAAACAUAAAUAUUUAAAAAUGUGUUGAAUGUCUCAGCUGAAGCAACUACAACAGUAUAUUACUUUGGAAAAGCUCUUUAAUCCUGUUUAUUUCAGCUCGGCUUUAGUGAAAAGUUUCUCUAGCUCGGGGAAAGACACAGCAUUACUACCAGAAAAAAGGGUGUGGGUACAAGCGUUUCAUGUGAUGGCAAUCAUAUUUAAUGUAUAAUUUGACUUGAAAUAUUGAAAAGUGAGGUGAAGAAGUUUGUUUACAUAAGCUGUAAUAUAAGCUGUAUGCCUUUUGAAGAAUAUUUUUAUAGGUAGUUUUAUUUGUUUUCGCUUUUGUGCUUAAAAGCCAGUUGUUUCAAAAAUAAAGUAAUGAAAUAACAAAUGUGUAGUGAUUAAAAAAAAAAAGUCACCCAUACAAACAGUACUUGAGUAAAAAUGCCAUAAGUAUACUUGAAUCAGAUUCUUCUUAUUAUAAGUUAUUAAACAGCUGUUUACAGGCUUGUAUAUACUGCCCACUAUGGGUCAACAUGUUUGUAUGAAUGUGAAUAUGGCUCGAAUGAUUGUCAGGCUGGAGGUUCAGCAGAUAUGAUUUCUUGAAAUGUUUCAGGAUUCUCAGAAUCUUGGUGCUGUUUAGUAACCUGACACACCAGAUGAUUUGUUUCAAAAAAGUUUUUUUUCUUUUCUUUUUUUUCACAAAUCCAACUGGGAAAGAGCAGCUAGGAUCUGUUUGGAAGCGGUCUGUAACCUUCUGUCACAGUAGGAGAGCUGUACCAGCGAUGGCAGCAUCCAUGCUAGCCUCUAUGGGGAGCUGCCAUUGUUUACAAGCUAAGAAUUGCUUCUCGCUGUUGUCACAUCCAAACCAAGCCCCUUAGCUACUGCCUCUGUUUCCCCAAAGGAUGCGGACUGCUCCAAUGAUUUUAGGAUUGGAGAGUGCUGCAACCCUGCUUUGCUGUGAAGCUCCAGAAAUGUUUUGUGACUAGACAAUGACCGAAUUUUCAUUUAUGACUGAACCUUUCUGUCAACCAUUCUUGUGUUUCUGGUGUUUCAGAAACUGUACAUUAAAACAUGAACACAAGAGAAAACUGCAUGUGGCGUUUGUGACCAAUGAUAUAAGUUUUAAUGUUUUUGCAGCUAACAGUGAAGCAGUAACAGGACAACAGUCAAACAUCCCCUCAUCACAUUUGGUGUCAAUCAUCUGAACUCUGAAACAGGGCUGUUGGAGAAAUCACAGCUUUAUUGAACAUCUUUAACUCCAUAUUCCCCAGCUACCCCACGUCCUUUAACCCUCCACCCCCUCCAGCGCCGAAUCUUGGUAUUCCCUUUCAGAUAUCAGCAGAUUACAAGGAUGAGCAGUGAGCUUAAUGAAUCCUCAUCUCUUACAUUCCAUCAGUCAGCUGGUUUCUCAGGGUUAUUGUGAAAGGAAAAUCACCCUGUUUUUUUGUUGUUUUUUUUUCCUGUUGGCUGAAGAGAAUGGGACUUCAAUCAAGGUACUGACAGUUCAUCUGGGGCUGGGACAGAAAAUACUACUCAUGGGUGGUACAGAGGACAAUCCAUUACAGAAAUUGCUUGCCAGUGGCUCCAAAACAGUAUGCCUAUCAGACCAGGAUGCAUUCUAACUUUGAUUAAAUUCAGUCAGUGUAGCUGAAGGAGAGGGGGAAAAAAAUCAUGAUGAUAUCUAACUGUGUAGCAGAGUGACAGUAGGGUUUUUCAUUAGAAGUGUGCAAUAAUUCACAUUGUAGGACAAGUAUUUUAAAUAUAAUCCUUUUGUCAUGAGGCCAACUGUGUUUUCUGCUAUCUGAUCUUUCUAACAAACUAGGACCAUAAGUAACAUUCAUUUCCACAUCUGCCUUGGAAAAAUGUUCUCUGUCUCCCAGAGGGAUAGUGUGUGUGUGUGUGUGUGUGUGUGUGUGUGUUGGGAGGGUGGGGGCGCCUGUUGAAGCCAAAGCACCGAGAGUGUAGCUGAGCGUCCUUUUAAGGGGGCUAAGGCUGGACCUCCUCAGCUAGAGCCACUCACAUCACUGCUAGAGAGGGAGACGUCCGACAGCACUAAAGCAAGGCAAAGCUUGGAUUCUUCAUUCACUUGAAAAAACAAAACAGUGGGGUGCUUAUCGAAGGCAUCAGAUUCUCAGUAACACUGCAGAUAUUUAUGUUAAAAAUGAAUUUUGAAGCUGGACUCUUCGCAUUUUCCAUCAGUGAGAACACGUCAGAGCAAACUCUCAGAGCUACAGACAUCAUGCUGGCCUUAAUGCAUCCAUGAGCAUACAGCUAGGACUUAUCACUCUGUAACAACAUAAGGCUUCAGUUCACCUUAAUGUACACAAAAAAGAGAAAAUCUAAUUUAAUGUUAUUUUGGCAUGCAGAUAGUUUUGAUUUGACAUACAGCUUCAGAUAACCACCUGUGACAUGUCUGCCUCCUCACUAAUACAGGAACAGAAGGACAAAAGGCAUAACUGCAACAUUUGCUUCCUAAGAGUCGCUGUCAUUCCAGGUUUCCUAGUGACCAUUUGUGUUUCAAUACAACUGGUAAAACCAAAACUAUCUGCAUGGAUAUAUACCACACCAGCAGUGGUGCCAGCCUGUGGGUCUGGACCCCACAAGGGGUUGAGAGUCGAUUACCGAGUAAUGUAAUCUGUGUGAUCUGAUCCAGUUGUGAGUGUAGACCUGGGGCCUGUUCCUUUCAGAACGUUUGCUAAUGAAGCUAGGCUUAUUUGUCUUAGUCUGUCUCAUUUUGCAGUUGAUUCACUUCCAUAAAGCAUCAUCAACAUAGUUCAUGUUUAGUUACAAUGCCAACUUAAGCUAUGAAACUAACCUGGUCCGGGGCGGGUUAACUGUUGGGCUAAGUCUGAGUUGUUGCUUUAACAGAUUUUCUCUAACACUGACCCAACAGGAAAGUGAGGAUUUUUGCUGCUUCUGGCGUGACUUCAUCAACCACCAUUACUUAUAAAGUUCACCGUUAUAGAAAAUCAACUAAAAGCCGCUGUAAGCUGCAUUGCUGGCUGUAAACACUGAAUAAUAUAAAUCAUCUAUGCAAGAUGUGCAAUAUUUUCAGGUUUUUGGAAAGUCUGAAACUAAAGCAAAGUUGGAGUUGCUUUUUUUUUUGAGAUCGCAACUAACUGGUAUGAAUUGUUGGAGAAUGAAUAUAUGAAUGGAAAGGUAAAAGGUUGAAGGUUAGUGGGUUUGAAGAGUAUUCUUAAAGUAUUCCAUUAGAACUAUAUUUCAAAGGAAAAUAAAUAUUCUGAACAAUGACUGACUGGAUUUGAAAGUUGACUAAAUGCUAAACAAUCUAGAAACAAUGCAGGACAUUUUCAAAGACUGAAUGGAGUUUCAAACUGAGAGCAUGAAUGAGUACAAAACAGUUGAAAAUGCAUGAAAAACCGUGAAAAUAUUAGAACUACCAUGACCUGGAUGACUGGUGCAUACAUGUAAAAAUAUGGGAUGUUUUAACAUUCCAUCCAUGCAUUUAAAUAGAGAAAAUUUUAUAGUGACAGAGUGAAAGUUAUUUCUAAGAAAAGUUAUAGCCAUAAUGUCCAAUUUGUACAUUGAAAUAUGUGGAAGAAAUUAAGUUCCAAAGCACAUGACAGAGAAACAAUAAAAAAGGAAUUCCAUUAGUAGAACAUUGUGAGUGCUGAUGUGUUUUACUUUCAACUCACACAUUCAAUUGAUCAGUGUUUCCAUGCCAGCCUUUUCUCUCUUCUCUUUUUAUCUAUGGCACCUGUAUUCCCUUUUUCACAAUUAGAUGUUUAAUUUCUUUAUAUGCUUCCCAACAUAAACGAUACCUCCAACUACUAGUUCUUUGAUGGAUUGGUUUGAUCUGUUUUUGACCCAUGAAAAGCACCCAGUCUUAACUACCUGGAGCUGAGUAGAAUUAGUCUGUGUGUGUUAACAUGGAUCGAAUUUAAUGAAAUUGCUUCAGCCCCAACUGACUUUUUAGUUUCAUUUAGGUCAUGUGUUGGACUUCUAUCCCCACUUUUCUUAGUGCACUGUAUGGAACAGGCCCCAGAAGCUCUCAAUGAAGCAUCAGACUUCUGGAAAAUACUUGGCUUAAGAUCUGUUUCACUGACACAAGCUAUAAUGUAGUGAACAUCAUGGCAUUGAAUAUUUAAACAGACAUGUAACUAGUUGCUUUCAGGGUUAUUCUUCCCAUUUGGUUCAUUUAGACGACAGACCAACCAAAGCGUUAAGCUCUAUAUAGUGACUGAUGGGAUUUCGGACAGAAACGGUCAGUAGGAUGGAGGCUGAUGGAAAAAGAAGGCUCAGUGGGGGGG